rnacentral:rRNA from 1 species
AGUGAACGCUGGCGGUAGGCCUAACACAUGCAAGUCGAACGGCAGCACAGGAGAGCUUGCUCUCUGGGUGGCGAGUGGCGGACGGGUGAGGAAUACAUCGGAAUCUACUCUGUCGUGGGGGAUAACGUAGGGAAACUUACGCUAAUACCGCAUACGACCUACGGGUGAAAGCAGGGGACCUUCGGGCCUUGCGCGAUUGAAUGAGCCGAUGUCGGAUUAGCUAGUUGGCGGGGUAAAGGCCCACCAAGGCGACGAUCCGUAGCUGGUCUGAGAGGAUGAUCAGCCACACUGGAACUGGGACACGGGCCAGACUCCUACGGGAGUCCGCAGUGGGGAAUAUUGGACAAUGGGCGCAAGCCUGAUCCAGCCAUACCGCGUGGGUGAAGAAGGCCUUCGGGUUGUAAAGCCCUUUUGUUGGGAAAGAAAUCCAGCUGGCUAAUACCCGAUUGGGAUGACGGUACCCAAAGAAUAAGCACCGGCUAACUUCGUGCCAGCCGCCGCCGUAA